ensembl:processed_transcript 1700028P15Rik RIKEN cDNA 1700028P15 gene
AUGCAUUUAUUUUUCAGUGUGCUGGGUAUAAAUAUGCAAGUGCUGACAUGGGCUGCGUUUUUCAAUUUUAUGGCCAAGUGACGUCUACAGCCGACUGAUAAAUGGAAGCUUUGAGGAGGGGGAUUGCACAGUCCAGCCUGGCAUGAAAGGAUCCCGAGGGAAGGUAGCGAUGGGCUAUGGAGUCAGCGGUGAAACCAAAGCUUAUUUAUCUUUGGCAGCUCUUCUCUCUUUGCUAUGCUAAGGCCAAAUGCCUUCGGCUUCUGGAAGUCUGCCCAACAGGGUGGGCCAAUGCCCAGGAAUCAUUAGGCAAUGGUGACAGAAAAGGCGUAUCAGCUUUUAAGAAGCAAUCCUGAGAUGAAGUCUCUUGUGAUCUUGCCUCUCAGAGCUCACUCAUCAUAAGCUAUGCAAAAACAGUAAGUGGGCCACCUCCAGGAAAGUCACCCGCUAGCCCUCACCUCUCCUGGAUGGUUCCUGAAAUGGGGUUAAGUAUUUUCUAUAACAAAAUAAAAUCUAAUAAGA